AGGACGAACGCUGGCGGCGUGCUUAACACAUGCAAGUCGAGCGGACCCUUCGGGGUUAGCGGCGAACGGGUGAGUAACACGUGGGCAACCUGCCCCAGGCUCUGGAAUAACUCCGGGAAACCGGGGCUAAUGCCGGAUAUUCACAUUCUCGGGCAUCUGGGGGUGUGGAAAGAUUUAUCGGUCUGGGAUGGGCCCGCGGCCUAUCAGCUUGUUGGUGGGUGAUGGCCUACCAAGGCGACGACGGGUAG
rnacentral:rRNA from 1 species